GCUUGUCUCAAAGAUUAAGCCAUGCAUGUCUUAGUGUAAAUAACUCUUAUGAAACUGCGAAUGGCUCAUUAAAUCAGUUAUCAAAUACGUGAUGGUCGCCUACUACAUGGAUAACCGUAGUAAUUCUAGAGCUAAUACAUGCACAAAGGCCCACUCACGAAGGGGUGUAUUUAUUAGAUGGAAACCAAUGCGGGGCAACCCGGAUUAUGGUGAUUCAUAAUAACUUUCAGAUCGAUCGCAAGAUCGAUGCAUCAUUCAAGUUUCUGCCCUAUCAGCUUUGGAUGGUAGGGUAUUGGCCUACCAUGGCUUUAACGGGUAACGGAGAAUUAGGGUUCGAUUCCGGAGAGGGAGCCUGAGAAACGGCUACCACAUCCAAGGAAGGCAGCAGG
rnacentral:rRNA from 1 species